rnacentral:rRNA from 1 species
AGAGUUUGAUCCUGGCUCAGAACGAACGCUGGCGGCGUGCUUAACACAUGCAAGUCGAACGCGAAAUUUUUCUUCGGAAAGAGAGUAGAGUGGCGCACGGGUGAGUAACGCGUAAGUUAUCUACCUCGGCAUCUGGAAUAACUCACCGAAAGGUGUGCUAAUACCGGAUACGUUGAGUAAUCAAGAAAGGUGGCCUCUGAAUAUGCUACUGUGCUGAGAUGAGCUUGCGUACCAUUAGCUAGUUGGUAGGGUAAUGGCCUACCAAGGCGACGAUGGUUAGCGGGUCUGAGAGGAUGAUCCGCCACACUGGAACUGGAACACGGACCAGACUCCUACGGGAGGCAGCAGUGAGGAAUAUUGCGCAAUGGGGGCAACCCUGACGCAGCGACGCCGCGUGGAUGAUGAAGGCCUUCGGGUCGUAAAAUCCUGUCAGAUGGAAAGAAGUGUUAUGUGGUCAAUACCCAUAUAGCUUGACGGUACCAUCGAAGGAAGCACCGGCUAACUCCGUGCCAGCAGCCGCGGUAAUACGGAGGGUGCAAGCGUUGUUCGGAAUUACUGGGCGUAAAGCGCGCGUAGGCGGUUUUAUAAGUCAGAUGUGAAAGCCCAUGGCUUAACCAUGGACGUGCAUUUGAAACUGUGAGACUUGAGUAUUGGAGGGGGUGGUGGAAUUCCCGGUGUAGAGGUGAAAUUCGUAGAUAUCGGGAGGAAUACCAGUGGCGAAGGCGACCACCUGGCCAAAUACUGACGCUAAUGUGCGAAAGCGUGGGGAGCAAACAGGAUUAGAUACCCUGGUAGUCG